UCAGAAUGAGUUGUGAAUGAACCAAAAAUGUCAGAUCCAUCAAAAUUGUUCAGCGGAACAGCAGCAAAUGGAUCAACAAUGUUAGCAUUUACUGGCUCAACGUUUGCUGCCAUGGCUGGUUGCACAACUGGAUCAGUGGUGGAAAAGAGGUCAACAGUUGGAGAUGCUGCAGGAGUAAUGGCAGGCUGAGAAGCGAAUAAAUCAACCUGUCCCUGCACAAAUGAGAAAAAGAGAAGUGGAUUUCAGCUCUUCAUGGUUAAAAGAUUUGCCCCAACUCCUUAAUUAGUUAGUCAAAAACCUCUGAUAUCCACCUAAUUAGUACACAAACAUAUAUACACAGACACGUAUACAUACUCUGCAUGCUCAAAUAAAAGCUUUUCUAAGAUUACACAAUCUUAAGCAAACUGGUGUUUUUAUCAGUGGAGAUAUUUUUUGCAAUGAAGAGAUGAAAGGACGUUGGUAGGUGGGAGCGUGGGGGGAAGAGGUGCAUGUUAAGUUAAUUGAAGGUAAGUUCUAUCUGGUGUCUUCUUUAUUUGGUUUUUUUAAAGACAGACUGAUACCUUUAUGUGUGGUUGCACAACUGGAUCACUGCCAGCAAAUAGGUCAACAGUUGGAGAGGCUGCAGGAGUAAUGGCAGGCUGGGAAGCAAAUAGAUCAACUUGUUGCUGCACAAAUGAGAAGGAGAAGAAACAGAUGUCAGCUCCUCAUAAUUUAAAGGAUAUGCCUCGACUCCAAUAACUAGUCCCAAUACCUCUAUGAUAUCCACUGAAAAUCAG
rnacentral:lncRNA from 1 species